rnacentral:tRNA from 1 species
AGUCAGCUAGCUCAGUCGGAAGAGCACGAGACUCUUAAUCUUGGGGUCAUGGGUUUGAGCCCCAUAUUGUGUG